rnacentral:misc_RNA from 1 species
AACUGAUACUACCUGCGGGAACCUGCGGAAGGAUCAUUACCGAGUUUACAACUCCCAAACCCCUGUGAACAUACCAAUUGUUGCCUCGGCGGAUCAGCCCGCUCCCGGUAAAACGGGACGGCCCGCCAGAGGACCCCUAAACUCUGUUUCUAUAUGUAACUUCUGAGUAAAACCAUAAAUAAAUCAAAACUUUCAGCAAUGGAUCUCU